UCAUAUCACGUUGAAACACCAGUUUCCGUCACGAUCACCGAAGUUAAGCAACGUCGAGCCUGGUCAGUACCUAGAUGGGUGACCGCUUGGGAAUACCCAG